rnacentral:sRNA from 1 species
AUGUUUGUUUUACGAAUCUCGUCAGUCUGAAACCAGGAGCAGUAGAGUGAACAUUAAAAUUUAUUGUUUAAUUUUUAGUUUUGUGUUUUUGGAUUCCAGUUAAAAAGUUCAUACUUUGAACUUUGUGGACUGUGCUGAGGACCCUGAGGCGGCCCCUGUUGCAGUCCCUGCUGUGGACCGCGCUGUGGAACAUCCUGCUGAGCGAUAGCGCACAUGUUCGUCGAAUCUGAAAAGGUGCUGUACCUUUCUGUUCUGCUGAAAUGACAGCUAGUCAUUUUUGGCGGACCAGCGACGACUAGCACUUCUGCUUUUUGUGGAUCAAUCCUUGGGCCGAGCGUCAGACUUUACACAAGUGCAGAGCUGACGGGAACAGCCACGCCAUCUACUCGGAGGAGAAGCGUUCCGAUCCGACAACAACAACAGCAGCAAUCAAGCGCAACAGCAACAGCCGGCAGCUGCCGGGGUAGAUGUCACUCCACCAUCAUUGGCAUCUGAGGACUCGGGCUUCAGUUGGGAGCUGAGCUCGGUCAGCACCAGCAGUGCCGCCCUGUCCGAUUCCUCGCGCAGCAAUAUCAAAAAUAGCAACAAAAUCAAUUCAGAUUAAGUCCACGAAUCGGAUCCCAAUACCAUACGUCGCAGUCCCAAUACCUUCCUGACGGGCUGCCCCUUCAGCAGCAGGUCGCUCUAUGGCCUGCUCUGUGGGCAGCAGUCCUUCCGGAUCCACUCCAACAUUUAUUGCGCGUCGUAUUUUGAUGCCCAGCCAGGACCCCCACCCAGUGGGCGCAGUGGGAGGUCGAGACGACGACGACCGGUGGCUCAGGGGUCGGUGGCUGGAAAUAACGGUAUGCCUUCAGGCCGAUUUUCUCCACAGCCGCAAUACACUUGGAGAUCAUCUUACAAUAAUGCACUUUAUUCGCUCUGAGAGAACACCAAGAGCUCCCAGAGGCUGUGAUUCGUUCGACACGAAGAUCCUGUAUCCCGUAAUUAAAUGAAGACAACAAAAUUUCGUUAACAAACAAUUUUUAAGAAAAAAAUAUACAAUUUUCGCUUGAUUUUA